CCUACGGGAGGCAGCAGUAGGGAAUAUUGCUCAAUGGGGGAAACUCUGAACCAGCAACGCCGCGUGGGGGAAGAAGGUUUUCGGAUUGUAAAACUCCUUUGUUAGAGAAGAUAAUGACGGUAUCUAACGAAUAAUCACCGGCUAAUUCCGUGCCAGCAGCCGCGGUAAUACGGCGGGUGCAAGCGUUAUUCGGAAUUACUGGGCGUAAAGAGCGCGUAGGUGGGAUAGCAAGUCAGAUGUGAAAUCCUAUGGCUUAACCAUAGAACUGCAUUUGAAACUGGUAGGCUUGAGUAUGGGAGAGGGAGGUGGAAUUCUUGGUGUAGGGGUGAAAUGCGUAGAGAUCAAGAGGAAUACUGAUUGCGAAGGCGACCUGCUAGAACAUAACUGACGCUGAGGCGCGAAAGCGUGGGGAGCAAACAGGAUUAGAUACCCGAGUAGUC
rnacentral:rRNA from 1 species